rnacentral:rRNA from 1 species
UACGGAGGGUGCGAGCGUUGUCCGGAAUCACUGGGCGUAAAGGGCGCGUAGGCGGCACGGCAAGUCGGGAGUGAAAGGCCUGGGCUCAACCGAGGAACUGCUUUCGAGACUGCCGAGCUAGAGUGCGGAAGGGGCAACCGGAAUUCCCAGUGUAGCGGUGAAAUGCGUAGAUAUUGGGAAGAACACCUGAGGCGAAGGCGGGUUGCUGGGCCGACACUGACGCUGAGGCGCGAAAGCCAGGGGAGCAAACGGG